UCUGUGAAGGUCUGUGAGGGUCUGUGAGGGUCUGUGAUGGUCUGUGAGGGUCUGUGAAGGUCUGUGAGGGUCUGUGAGGGUCUGUGAAGGUCUGUGAGGGUCUGUGAAGGUCUGUGAGGGUCUGUGAGGGUCUGUGAGGGUCUGUGAGGGUCUGUGAAGGUCUGUGAGGGUCUGUGAAGGUCUUUGAAGGUCUGUGAGGGUCUUUGAAGGUCUGUGAGGGUCUGUGAGGGUCUGUGAAGGUCUGUGAAGGUCUGUGAGGGUCUGUGAGGGUCUGUGAGGGUCUGUGAAGGUCUGUGAGGGUCUGUGAGGGUCUGUGAGGGUCUGUGAGGGUCUGUGAGGGUCUGUGAAGGUCUGUGAGGGUCUGUGAAGGUCUGUGAAGUUCUGUGAGGGUCUGUGAGGGUCUGUGAGGGUCUGUGAAGGUCUGUGAAGGUCUUUGAAGGUCUGUGAGGGUCUGUGAGGGUCUGUGAGGGUCUGUGAGGGUCUGUGAAGGUCUGUGAGGGUCUGUGAGGGUCUGUGAAGGUCUGUGAGGGUCUGUGAGGGUCUGUGAAGGUCUGUGAAGGUCUUUGAAGGUCUGUGAGGGUCUGUGAGGGUCUGUGAGGGUCUGUGAGGGUCUGUGAGGGUCUGUGAAGGUCUGUGAAGGUCUGUGAGGGUCUGUGAGGGUCUGUGAGGGUCUGUGAGGGUCUGUGAAGGUCUGUGAGGGUCUGUGAAGGUCUUUGAAGGUCUGUGAGGGUCUGUGAGGGUCUGUGAAGUUCUGUGAGGGUCUGUGAAGGUCUGUGAGGGUCUGUGAGGGUCUGUGAAGGUCUGUGAGGGUCUGUGAGGGUCUGUGAAGGUCUGUGAGGGUCUGUGAAGGUCUGUGAGGGUCUGUGAGGGUCUGUGAGGGUCUGUGAGGGUCUGUGAAGGUCUGUGAGGGUCUGUGAAGGUCUGUGAAGGUCUGUGAAGGUCUGUGAGGGUCUGUGAGGGUCUGUGAGGGUCUGUGAGGGUCUGUGAAGGUCUGUGAGGGUCUGUGAGGGUCUGUGAGGGUCUGUGAAGGUCUGUGAGGGUCUGUGAAGGUCUGUGAAGGUCUGUGAGGGUCUGUGAAGGUCUGUGAAGGUCUGUGAAGGUCUGUGAAGGUCUGUGAGGGUCUGUGAGGGUCUGUGAAGGUCUUUGAAGGUCUGUGAGGGUCUGUGAGGGUCUGUGAAGGUCUGUGAAGGUCUGUGAGGGUCUGUGAAGGUCUGUGAGGGUCUGUGAAGGUCUGUGAGGGUCUGUGAGGGUCUGUGAAGGUCUGUGAGGGUCUGUGAAGGUCUGUGAGGGUCUGUGAAGAUCUUAUAUCCCAAGCUGAGGAGCUCAUAUUUUAUUCCUUAUUCUGUGUUCUCCUAUUUUAUGAUAAGCAAUGGGGCCUGGUGGUGGCAGUGGCACACUCCUUCAAUUCUCGGACUCGGGAGGCAGGUGCAGGUGGAUCUCUGAGUUCAAGAUCUACAGAGUGAUUUCCAUGACAGCCAGGGCUACACAGAGAAAUCCUAUGCGGAAGCAAACAAACAAACAAAAAAACUCAAAAACUAACCAACCAACCAAGCAAACACAAAACAAAUAAAAACAAAAACCAAACGAAAAGAUAAGCUAUGGGUACUUGGGUGGAGUUGGCUGGGUGCUUCUAUAGCCAAGGAUUUCAAAGGCGGAAAGAAGCUUGUUGGACAGUUUUGUGUUAGGUUGCUUUCAUAGCUAUCCUUAGCUUUCUAGGUGGGACUCAGAACGUGUUCUUGAGACCCUAUCCCAGUUGAUGCUACGUCAAGAUAACGUAUUAAUUAAUACCACGUAUUAUUCUUAAGGAGAUUAAUCUGGUAACACAGCGGUCACCCAGGGUCACAAGAAGUAAUAUAAUUUCUUUUGAGCCUUUAAAAUAUAUCUACUCAUUUUAUGCGUAUAUGUUGUCCCGGUUCGUAUGUGGCCGCGGGCGGCAACAAUAUGUGUGGGCGCACCUGUGCCACCAGGGCAUGUGGAGCUCAAAGGACAACUUGUGGAAGUCAGCUUUCUCUUCUGCUUGACCAUGUGAUCAGACACGGUACUUUCCAAUGUCAAACAGAAUAACUGCAAGCUUUCUUACCAGAGAAAGUACCUCAAACUAACCGCCUUCAGCCGGCCUCCAUUUCAGUUGGAUAAACAUCGUUCAUUUUUUCAUGGACAGUACAGCAUUACAUAAAAGCAAUUUAGGGACCAGACUUUUACUUUGACUUCCCUGCGGCACAAGAUUGCUGCCCCCUUUAAAACUUCUGGGGUAACAGCUGGUGUGGAUGAGAAGUUUCAGUUCCAAAGUCGCAGACCUGCGCGUCCCGUGACUCCUGUAAGGAAAACUGGAUUUGAGGCUGGAAAGACGGCCCAGCGUUAAGAACACAUGCUACUAUUGCAGAGGACCAGGUUUUGGUUCCCAACACUCCUGUGAGGCAAUGUUGUGUGCGCGAGUACAUACACAGAACUAAAAAUUUAAAAAGGUGAAAGUUGAAUAUAAGAUACCUGUUAUGCUUUUUUGUUUUUUAAAAGUUUUAUUUAUUUGGACAGUUUUUGAGAGUUGGUCCUUGUCUUCUGUCUUGUGAGGAGGGUCUCUCUUGUUUCUGCGACUACACAGUGUACCCCAGGCUAGCUGGACCACCAACUUCUAGGCGACUCCUCUGUCUCUGCCUCCCAUCAUGCCCUAGGAGGGCUGGGAUUAUGGGAGGGACCUGAAAAGACGCAUCUCCCUGGCCUUGCUGUUCAUUGUUGUCUCCCUGGUGUAUUUGGGGAGUUUCUAUGAAGGAUAAAAGUCAAAUAAGACUGGCUUGAUGAUGAUGAUGUUGAUGAUGAUGAUGAUUGCUUUUAUUUAGACAAAGUCUUUCUGUGUAUCCCUGGCUGUCCUGGAACUCGCUUUGUAGACCAGGCUGGCCUCAAACUGAGAGAUUCAGCUGUCUCUCUCUCUCAAGUCCUGGGAUUAAAGGCAUGGAUCAACACACCUAGCUUAAUCAUUAAUCUUUAAGCUGACUAAUUUUUAUGGUUUUGUCAUCUGAAUUUAUAUAUAAGCUGUUAAAUAUAUUAACUGUUAAAAUAGAAUACAAGGUUAUUAGAGAAAAUGGUUUAUUGCUCUACAACUCUAGCCCAUCAUUUUAUUUAAAUCAUAAAUAACAAACAGGAUAUACUAUUGAGUAUAUCAUCUCAAAAGGAGGAACUCAGGUGGCUUGGCUUGGCAGAGUGCUAGCCUAGCACGCGCAGAGCCUAGGUUUGAUUCCCAGAAUCACAUUAGCCAAACAUGGGGCUUAUGUUUAUAAGCUCAGCCUUCAGGAAAUGGAAGCAGUAAAAUCAGGAAUUCAAAGUCUCAAGAUCAAGGACAUCAUGGGGUAAGUCAAAGUUUCAAAAACAAACAGAAUGCUAUGGUACACACCUAUAAUCCACUUCUCAGCAAGUGGAGGCAGGAGG